rnacentral:lncRNA from 14 species
CCCACAAUGUCUUCUUUUGAAUGGAGUGGCUUCCAUGAUCAUGGGACUCUGUGUAUCUGCUGCUGACUGUUUUGGAUAUGGAUUGUCUAACCUGUGUCAGAGCAUGUCCCUGGCUCUCAGAGGUCUUCAUGGUAUUAAAGGCAAUACAAUAUUCCCAC